AGCAGCCGCGGUAAUUCCAGCUCCAAUAGCGUAUAUUAAAGUUGUUGCAGUUAAAAAGCUCGUAGUUGAAUUUCGGGACCAAUUUGUUGGUCGUGCCUCGGUACGUACUGGUAUUAUUGGUUUCUCCCUUCUGAAGAACCUCGAUGUCAUUAAUUUGGUGUCGUGGGGAAUCAGGACUGUUACUUUGAAAAAAUUAGAGUGUUUAAAGCAGGCAUACGCUUGAAUACAUUAGCAUGGAAUAAUGAAAUAGGACGUUUGAUUCUAUUUUGUUGGUUUCUAGGAUCGACGUAAUGAUUAAUAGGGAUAGUUGGGGCAUUAGUAUUCAAUUGUCAGAGGUGAAAUUCUUGGAUUUAUUGAAGACUAACUACUGCGAAAGCAUUUGCCAAGGAUGUUUUCAUUAAUCAAGAACGAAAGUUAGGGGAUCGAAGACGAUCAGAUACCGUCGUAGUCUUAACCAUAAACUAUGCCGACUAGGGAUCGGAUGAUGUUAAUUUUUUAAUGACUCAUUCGGCGCC
rnacentral:rRNA from 1 species